AGUUUGAUCCUGGCUCAGAACGAACGCUGGCGGCGUGCUUAACACAUGCAAGUCGAACGUGAUUGGAAGCUUGCUUCCAUGAAAGUGGCGCACGGGUGAGUAACGCGUGGAUAACCUGCCCUGGUAUCCGGAAUAACAUCUCGAAAGGGGUGCUAAUACCGGAUAAGCCUACGGAGCCUUCGGUCUCUGCAGGAAAAGGUGGCCUCUAUUUAUAAGCUACCGUAUCAGGAUGGGUCCGCGUACCAUUAGCUAGUUGGUGGGGUAAUGGCCUACCAAGGCGACGAUGGUUAGCUGGUCUGAGAGGAUGAUCAGCCACACUGGAACUGAGACACGGUCCAGACUCCUACGGGAGGCAGCAGUGGGGAAUUUUGCGCAAUGGGGGAAACCCUGACGCAGCAACGCCGCGUGAGUGAUGAAGGCUUUCGGGUCGUAAAGCUCUGUCAGAGGGGAAGAAAUGGGUCUGGCUAAUAUCCAGAUUCCUUGACGGUACCCUCAAAGGAAGCACCGGCUAACUCCGUGCCAGCAGCCGCGGUAAUACAGA
rnacentral:rRNA from 1 species